rnacentral:lncRNA from 1 species
UGACUUCCAAUUUAUUCAGAAUCGUUCAUUAGAUUAGUAGAAGACUCAUUCUAAUUCUUUUUUUUUUAAACAGGUAACUUUAAGACCAAACUAUGUACUCUUAACUCUCCAGGCACUCUUUCUGGAGUAGAUUUCUCUGUAUAAAAACUUUUUCAGCCUUACAAGUCAGAAUUAAUGUCCUGACCCUCUAAAGCAAGGUGACUGAUUUUGACCUCAAAGUGACCUUAGGUGGUCACCUUCUUCACUAGGGUAAAAGACCUUGCUUUCCAUAGUGAGCUCUUUGAGUUGGAUUUUUGUCCUUCUUGUUAAGCUGCCUUUGUGGUAUCCUUACUUUUAAUACUUUUGGAAUUUCUAAGGUUUCUUUUGGAUCAUAUUAGACUUUUCUCUACAAGUCGAUCAUCAUUGCUGUUAACUGGUUCUGUUCCUUUCUAAAUGAGAGGAUGGUUAAAAUGCCAGAAUCUACUGCUUCAUGUGUUAGAAGUGCUCAUAUUGAGCUUCUAUAGAGUCGUCAGUCACAGCUCUGGCUAAUGAAGGAGUAGAAGGCAGUGAGAGUGGCAGCUUUCUUGAAUCAGCUAUCCAGUAGCUGUUUCUUCUAUUUAUUUUCCAGGGACAUGUGAUUGGCAAUAGGAAAGAAUAUGUAAACAGCAUUGUAUUUAAUAUUUGAUGUGAUUUUUGUUCGUUAACCACUGAGCCAUGAUGGGAACUCCUAAAUGUAUCUAUCUUUACUGAACUACCAGUUAUUUACUGAACUGCCAGGUGAAUUUUAGAAUACAAUAAUGAGCUAUCAAAGAACUGUUCUGAGAGAGAAUAGAUUUGGCAAGGUGGGAGUCACUGGUGACUUUGACGAUAUUGGGUUCAGUGGUGGGGACAAAAUUCAGAUUGGAGUGGAGUAAAGAUAACUAGUAGGUGAAAAAAAAAAUUAAAAACUUUUCUCUUCUUCUUCUUUUUUUUUUAGUCUUUUUAGGGCCACACCCACAGCAUAUGGAGGUUCCCGGGCUAGGGGGUCGAAUUGGAGCUACAGCUGCCAGCCUGCACCAUAGCCACAGCAGCACCAGAUCCAAGCAAGGUCUGCGACCUACGCCACAGCUUACAGCAACACCAGAUCCUUAACCCAUUCAGCGAGGCCAGGGAUUGAACCUGCGUCCUCAUGGAUGCUAGUCAGAUUCAUUUCCACUGAGCCACGAUGGGAACUCCAAAAUUAAAAAACUUUUUAAGGAGUUUUGCUGUGAAAAGAAACAGAGCAUUGGGCAUGGCAGUGUAAAUCACCCAAAAGAGAACAUAAGCAAAUAUUCUCUGACAUAAUUGUAGCAAUGUCAGUCUCCUAAGACAAUAGAAAUAAACACAAAAAUAAAUAAAUGGGACCUAAUCAAACUUACAAGCUUUUGCACAACAAAGGAAACCAUAAACAAAAUGAAAAGAUAAAAUAUACAAAUAGCUCAUAACACUCAAUAACAAAAACAAACAACUUAAUCGAAAAUGUCAGAAGACCUCAGUAGACAUUUCUCCAAAGAAAACAUCAGAUGGCCAAUAGGCACUUGAAAAGUCAACAUUGCUGAUUAUUAGAAAAAUGCAAAUCUAAACUAAAAUGAGGUACUACCUUAUAUCAGUCUGAAUUGCCAUCAUUAAAAAGUUUAUAGAUAAUAAAUACUGGAGAGGGUGUGGGGAAAAGGGAAUCUUCCAACAAUGGUGGUGGGAAUGUACAUUGGUGCAGCCACUGUAGAAAGCAGUGUGGAAUUUCCUUAAAAAACUGUAAGUAUCAACCAUAUGAUCCAGCAGUUCUACUCCUGUGCAUAUAUCUGGAGAAAGCUAUAAUUCAAAAAGAUGCACAUACCCCAAUGUUCAUAGCAGCACUGUUUACAAUAGCCAUGACAUAGGAACAACCUAAAUGUCCAUUGACAGAUGAAUGGAUAAAGAAGAUGUGGUGCAUAUGCACAAUGGAAUAUUACUCAGCCAUAAAAAAGAAUGAAAUAGCAACAUGGAUCGAGAUUAUCACACUAAAUGAAGUAAGUCAUACGAAGACAAAUAUCAUAUGAUAUAUGUGGAAUCUAAAAUAUGAUACAAAUGAACUUAUUUACAAAACAGAAACAGACUUACAGACAUAGAAAACAAAUAUGGUUACCAAAGGGGAAAAGGGUAGGGGAGUAAUUACUUGGGAGUUUGAAAUUAGUAGAUACAAACUACUAUAUAUAGAAUAAUCAGCAAGGACCUACUGUAUAGCAUAAGGAAUUAUAUUUAAUAUCUUGUAAUAAACCACAAUGGGAAAGAAUAUGAAAAAGAAUAUAUAUAUGUAUAUAUACAUCUGAAUCAUUUUUCUGUAUACUUGAAACUAAUGCAACAUUGUAAAUCAACUAUACUUCAGUUAAAAAUAAAUAAAAAUAUAAUUCCCAUCGAGAUACCUUAAAAAAAAAAAAAA